GUUUAUUUACUGGUUUCAUUUUGUGCCUACCUUUCCUGUAAGCUUUUACUGGAAAGUUUGACUAGUGGAUAUGAAAAUGUUCUUCCCUCAAUUUAGUUUAUACCCAGGCACUGGAACUUCUUGCUCAGGUACCAAAAAUUGUUUUGCAUUUAGAAAAAUACAUGAGCUUUUCCAAUACAAAAUCUCUACUGGGUACAGGAAUUUCUGGUGCUUCAAACAGUUUAUGCAGUGAAAAGGGGUACAAAAAGAAAAUCUCCUACCCUUAAUGCUGUGAUUGGAAAGUCUACUGUGUUAAAGAUGUGACCCUGGGCCUACUGAAGACUGCAAAAUUCCAUCUGAAUUUAAAACCAGAUCAGAAAAAGAUUCUGCCAUGCUUUGGAAGUAAAAGUGGGAGAGGCUAGAGAUAGGAAGAAAAGGUAUAAGGAACUUCCCUGACAACCCACCUUCCCAGCUGUCCCUGGCUGAUUGAUUAUUGCUCUAAGCUUCUCUGAGAAGGGUGUACAGUGACAGCAGAAGAACUGAUGUCUGCUUCUCCGCCCCGACUAUCACAAACACAGCUUUUGAAAUGUUCAUUCGGUGCUCCUACAGUCUCCAUAACAGAUUGUUUCUGUAAUGGCCAUUCUUGGAUGAAGACAUGGGCUAGUGCACUUUGCAUAAAUGACCGUAAAAUAAACUGCAGCAUAGUCUUGCAGAUUCUUUUCUCUGUUUCCAAUAGCAAAGCAGGAACUCACCCUCCUCCAUAACUAUCAUUGAGACUAGAUGCCUCCUUUUUGCCCCAGUUCUACCUUAGGGGCACAGCUAGACCUAAGAAUGAAAUGUUACCAUAAAGAGUUAAUGCUAUAAGGUCAUAAUUGGAAAAAAAAUAAUUGCUUUCUUGAUAAUGAGUUCCUCUGCAUUUUCCCAAAAGGUAACUGUGGACUAAGUACCUGCUACUGUCUGUUAUGAAUAAUGUGAAUAUUAUGAAAAUAUAUGAAAAUAUUGUGAAAAAACAUAUGAAUAUGGAAAUUUUAUAGGUAUUUUGUUCUGCAAGAGGUUUCAGUCAUACUAUUGUUUUCAUAGUGCAAUAUAAUUUCAGAAAUAAUAUCUAAAAAAGUGGCAUUCGUAGAGUGAGUUGUAAUAUACCUCCUCCACCCUCCCCCCAGUAAAAAUAAAAACCACAAAAACCAGAAAACCAACCAACCAAAACAAACAACAACUCCACAAGCUUUUGUAUUAAGGAAAGACACCAUUGUGAAAGUAAAUAUAUGACUGAUUUUAUCAUAGGUACCAAAUGUGCUUCACAGUAAUAAAGGUGUUACCAUGGAGCAGACUAUCACUGGGUGCUGCAUGUGCUGGUGUUUCAAAGAGAAGCUGUAACACCUUCUGAAGCUGCAGCUGUGAACACUGUUGGAACUUGUGUCUGUUGAAUAUUUAUACCGUAUGCAUUUGGCAGUUCACUUGCUUUCACAAGUUUUAUGAAACUGUAGUAAAGUUGUCCUCUUCAGAGACACACCCUGACAAAGCCAGUUUUGCCUGUUGAUCACAUCAUGCUGAUCAAUGCUGUGAUGACUAGUGCAUAUGCAAGUUCUUUACACGCCACUGCCAGUAUAACAGGGCAAUUGCUCCACAGUUGGCUGAAGCACAGAUACUAAUCUAAGACCUACUAACUCAUAGCAUGGACUAAACCUGGUUCUUGUGCUUUCAAUUCAUGCUGGAAUCAGAGUGUAAUAUGACCACCACUGAAAUGAAGUACACUAUCCAUAUUUGGCCAAAAGGCGUUCUUCGGCCUUAAAAAGUUGGAAACCCAAUUCAAAUAGCUGAAAGAUAUUUAAUGUGUUGAAUUCCAUCUUUUUCUAAGAACUUUUGGUACGACAAACUUGUAUUUUUAAUUUUUUGCUCUGAAAACAGAAAUGCUGGUAAACCAACAAAAU
ensembl:lncRNA